rnacentral:misc_RNA from 1 species
UCUCCGUUGGUGAACCAGCGGAGGGAUCAUUACAGGAUCGAAAGACUCCUAUAACCCCUGUGAACUUACUACAAAUACGUUGCUUCGGCGGGUGCCCCGGGUCUCCCGGGGCGUUCAGCCCGCCGGCAGCCUUCAAAUUCUGUUUCUUUGCGUUGGCAUCUCGAGUAUACAAAAAUAAGUUAAAACUUUCAACAACGGAUCUCUUGGUUCUG